CUCCCGCUAUUGGAUGAGCCUAUGUCGGAUUAGCUAGUUGGUGAGGUAAAGGCUCACCAAGGCAACGAUCCGUAGCUGGUCUGAGAGGAUGAUCAGCCACAUCGGGACUGAGACACGGCCCGAACUCCUACGGGAGGCAGCAGUGGGUGAAUAUUGGACAAUGGGGGCAACCCUGAUCCAGCCAUGCCGCGUAUGUGAAGAAGGCCUUCGGGUUGUAAAGCACUUUCAGCGAGGAAGAACGCCUAGUGGUUAAUACCCAUUAGGAAAGACAUCACUCGCAGAAGAAGCACCGGCUAACUCCGUGCCAGCAGCCGCGGUAAUACGGAGGGUGCAAGCGUUAAUCGGAAUUACUGGGCGUAAAGCGCGCGUAGGUGGCUUGAUAAGCCGGUUGUGAAAGCCCCGGGCUCAACCUGGGAACGGCAUCCGGAACUGUCAAGCUAGAGUGCAGGAGAGGAAGGUAGAAUUCCCGGUGUAGCGGUGAAAUGCGUAGAGAUCGGGAGGAAUACCAGUGGCGAAGGCGGCCUUCUGGACUGACACUGACACUGAGGUGCGAAAGCGUGGGUAGCAAACAGGAUUAGAUACCCUGGUAGUCCACGCCGUAAACGAUGUCGACCAGCCGUUGGGUGCCUAGCGCACUUUGUGGCGAAGUUAACGCGAUAAGUCGACCGCCUGGGGAGUACGGCCGCAAGGUUAAAACUCAAAUGAAUUGACGGGGGCCCGCACAAGCGGUGGAGCAUGUGGUUUAAUUCGAUGCAACGCGAAGAACCUUACCUACUCUUGACAUCCUGCGAACUUGUGAGAGAUCACUUGGUGCCUUCGGGAACGCAGAGACAGGUGCUGCAUGGCUGUCGUCAGCUCGUGUUGUGAAAUGUUGGGUUAAGUCCCGUAACGAGCGCAACCCUUGUCCUUAUUUGCCAGCACGUAAUGGUGGGAACUCUAAGGAGACUGCCGGUGACAAACCGGAGGAAGGUGGGGACGACGUCAAGUCAUCAUGGCCCUUACGAGUAGGGCUACACACGUGCUACAAUGGCCGGUACAAAGGGUUGCCAACUCGCGAGAGUGAGCUAAUCCCGAAAAGCCGGUCUCAGUCCGGAUCGGAGUCUGCAACUCGACUCCGUGAAGUCGGAAUCGCUAGUAAUCGUGAAUCAGAAUGUCACGGUGAAUACGUUCCCGGGCCUUGUACACACCGCCCGUCAC
rnacentral:rRNA from 1 species